AUUGAACGCUGGCGGCAGGCUUAACACAUGCAAGUCGAGCGGGGAAAGGUAGCUUGCUACUGGAUCUAGCGGCGGACGGGUGAGUAAUGCUUAGGAAUCUGCCUAUUAGUGGGGGACAACAUUCCGAAAGGAAUGCUAAUACCGCAUACGCCCUACGGGGGAAAGCAGGGGAUCUUCGGACCUUGCGCUAAUAGAUGAGCCUAAGUCGGAUUAGCUAGUUGGUGGGGUAAAGGCCUACCAAGGCGACGAUCUGUAGCGGGUCUGAGAGGAUGAUCCGCCACACUGGGACUGAGACACGGCCCAGACUCCUACGGGAGGCAGCAGUGGGGAAUAUUGGACAAUGGGCGCAAGCCUGAUCCAGCCAUGCCGCGUGUGUGAAGAAGGCCUUUUGGUUGUAAAGCACUUUAAGCGAGGAGGAGGCUCCUUUAGUUAAUACCUAAAGAGAGUGGACGUUACUCGCAGAAUAAGCACCGGCUAACUCUGUGCCAGCCGCCGCGGUAAAAC
rnacentral:rRNA from 1 species